CAGAUCUCUAAUAUUCUUUGGUCUGAAAACUGGCAGCAGCUGGUGAUCCAGAGGUCUCAUGGCAGAAUGAAGGAAUUUACCAAAGCCAAGCCCUUUGACUCUGGGCCUAUCUAUUUCUUUGAUCAGUUGAAACCUGAACGGAAAGAUGGGAAAAGAUAACCUGUGAAGAAAGUUAUCCCACCCAAAAUGCACCUCAAGAGCUAAGUG
rnacentral:lncRNA from 1 species